AUGAAGCAUCAGGCGGAUCGCAAACGAACAAACCGGGAAUUCAGUGUGGGGGAACAAGUGCUUCUGAAAUUGCAGCCAUACGUACAGUCGUCCGUCGUCAGCAGGCCGUGCCCGAAACUGGCAUACAAAUUCUUCGGCCCGUACAAGAUCAUCAGUCGAAUUGGGUCCUGCGCCUACAAGCUGGACUUACCACCUGAGAGCAAAAUUCACCCUGUUUUUCAUGUCUCGCAGCUCAAGCCAUUCACGGCAGAUUACUCUCCGGUAUUCAAUCAACUGCCCGCUCCACCGGACCUCACCAUCGGUGAUCUGGUGCCGCAGGCGAUCCUGGAACGUCGUCUCGUGAAGAAGGGGAAUGCGGCGAUUCCGCAGGUCUUGGUUCACUGGCAAACACUGUCGCCAGCGAGCGCGACAUGGGAGAACUAUCAUGUGCUACAGCAACGCUUUCGAGACAUAAACCUUGACGGGGGGGCUGCAUCUCAAGAAGAGGCAACUGUCACGCCUUCCCCUCCUGCUCAUCACAUAGAGGAGAAGACGGACAGCGAUGCACCACAGGUGCGUCCCAACAAGGAGAAUGGCGAGGACCCACCAACAGGGAGUGAAGACUAA
rnacentral:rRNA from 1 species